rnacentral:misc_RNA from 1 species
GAUGAAGAACGCAGCGAAAUGCGAUAAGUAAUGCGAAUUGCAGAAUUCAGUGAGUCAUCGAAUCUUUGAACGCACAUUGCGCCCGCCGGCACUCCGGCGGGCACGCCUGUCCGAGCGUCGCUUCCACCACCCUCGGGCGCCCUGCCAAGGGCGUCCGGCGUUGGGGCCCCUGCGGGCUAGGGGGCCCGCAGGUCCCCCGAAACACAGCGGCAGCAGCGCCAGCGGCAUCCCCUGCGUAGUACCAGACGACCUCGCACCGGACCGCGCGCGCGUCUCGCCCUUUGACGACCUCAAGGUUGACCUCGGAUCAGGCGGGGAUACCCGCUGAACUUAAGCAUAUCAAUAAGCGGAGGA